UCUGUGGGUUUGGUGUGGGGCUCCAUAAUUGGAGCAUUUCUAACAUGCCUCCAGGUAAUGCUUAUGUCAGGGUCUUACUUUGAGAACUAUUUUAGGAGUUGCUGACCCUCUGAUGUAUACAAGCUAGUAGAAAUUAAGUAUAACUACUUCUAAUCAAUUCCUGAGUUCAGGAAUUUAGUCCACACAAAUUCUUUUAUUUAGUUAAGUAUUUGUUGAGUGCAUAGUAACAUCUGGGUCCUCUAUUAAGUUCAGGGGAUACAGUAGGGAAUAAGGUGGGCAAAAACCCUGCUCUCGUGGAGCUUCUGUUCUUUUGGAACCCAAGACUCAGUGAGUCGCUCCUUUGUGUUUCUAAUGCUCCACUCACUUUGCUUUGUAAGUAUUUGUCUAUCUCCUCACUUAUGGUGGGAGGGACUGUAUUGUCAUUCAGUCACUCUUUCAUUAGUUUACCAGACAGUGUGCUUGCAUAAGAGAUCCAAAGUAAAAGCCAUAGUCCUCAUCCUCGGGAAAUUCCCUGUGUAGCAGGGAAGAUAACAAAUAGACAUCUACAAGCCACAGCAGUAAAUGUGAGAGAGGCUGUAGACGAUGCUAUUACCACAUGUCCACUCCCUGGCUGGUACACCUUUUCCUCAGCUGCUGCCAAUGCUAAGCUAAUGCCUUAUUUCUGCCACCUGUUUUGGCUCAUGGCCCCUAGCUAAUGAAAACCACCUGCCCUGGAGAUUGCCGAGAGGUUACCACCUACCUAUUUACUUCUUGGAGUAAGAAUAGGCUUCAGCAAGGGAAGAAGAUAGGGGAAGAAAUGAAGUCAGAAGAAUCUGUGCAAACGACCCCAUAUGUGGCUAACUGUGACUGGAACUGGGUGUGUGCUCUGGGAGAUGAGCCUGGAUGGUAUGGAUGAUGAAAGUUUUUCAGUGACACAGGUGGCCAUUUCAUGCUAUCUUCAGGAUUUUAAGUGGCAUUCAGCAGCUUUGGUGACCAGCUACGUCGUUUGGCAGCGGGCUAAAGUGCUCACAAUUGCACAGAGCAAGGAGCAUGCUGUACAGUGAUGUUCCAGUUUAAAAGGACAGAGCUGCAAACAAAGGUCAGUGCCCCACAUAGAAGGUACUUGAUAUAUGUGUGAUGAGUGAAUAAGUGAAUUACUGGUUGUCUACUCUCCUGAAGAAUGACCAGUUUCUGUUAAGUUAUGCACACUUUCAAGUUACCCUUCUGCAUUCUGCUUCUCAU
rnacentral:lncRNA from 1 species